GUCUUCUGUCAACUAAACCAACAAUCUGUCAGUUUGUCAUAUUUCAUUGUUUUUAUGAGAACUUAUGUUGAGAUGGAUUUAUUUUGUUUAAACAAUUAGAAAUCGUGAAAAUGGGUAACGCUGACACAAAACUUAAUUUUAGGAAAGCUGUCGUCCAGCUUACCUCAAAGACUCAGCCUAUUGACUCCUCGGACGACAGUUUUUGGGAUCAGUUCUGGUCGGAGAGCGUGACCAAUGUCCAGGAUGUGUUCGCCCUGGUGCCUGGAGCAGAGAUCCGUGCGUUACGAGAGGAAUCUCCGAACAAUCUUGCGACACUAGUGUAUAAGGCUGUUGAGAAACUGGUGAAGAUGGUGGACAGCAGCUGCAGAACCCAGAGAGAACAACAGACUGCACUAAACUGUGCCCGUCUCCUGACAAGAGUGUUACCCUACAUGCUGGAGGAACCAGAGUGGCACGGCUUCUUCUGGUCAUCAUUACCAGCAGCUGCUGAGAAUGAGUCCGUGCCUCUAGCCCAGUCACUCAUCAAUGCUGUUUGUGAUCUCCUCUUCUGCCCAGACUUCACAGUGACGACAACUAAGCGGGCGGGUCCCGAGCGAGCAGAAGAACUAUCCUCGCUAGACAGUUGCGAGUACAUCUGGGCGGGAGGCGUGGGGUUCGCGAGGUCUCCGACCCGCGUGUCCCCGCACGAGGCCGCCCGCACUGAGUUACUGCGGUUGUUACUGACUUGCUUCAGCGAGACGAUAUACAAGCCGGCCUCGCAUGCCGCCUCGCAUCAUAAUAAGUGGAUCGCUUACCUGACAAGUCCAGACAACCGUCACGCACUGCCUCUGUUCACGUCGCUAGUGAACACGGUGUGUUCAUACGACCCCGUGGGGCUCGGCCUGCCGUACAACCAUCUGCUGUUCGCCGACACACUGGAGCCGCUCGUUGAGGUGGCUCUUCAAGUAUUAAUAGUCACGUUAGACCAUGACACCAGUAACGCCGUCAACGAGGAAUCUGACGAACCCCAGCUGGGAUCUAUGAAACAAAUGACGACUCUCCCAGACAACCUAUUCAUCAACUACUUAUCCCGCAUCCAUCGCGAUGAGGACUUCCAGUUCAUCCUCCGAGGAGUCACCAGGCUGCUGAACAAUCCUUUGGCGCAGACCUAUCUGCCGAAUUCGGCGAAGAAAGUUAACCUGCACCAGGAGUUGUUAGUGCUGUUUUGGAAGAUGUGUGAUUAUAAUAAGAAAUUCAUGUACUACGUAUUGAAGAGCAGCGACGUGCUAGAAGUACUAGUUCCCAUAUUGUAUCAUCUCAACGAUUCGCGAGCUGACCAAUCUCGCGUCGGUCUAAUGCACAUCGGCGUCUUCAUCCUACUCCUGCUCUCCGGUGAACGCAACCUGGGCGUCCGGCUGAACAAGCCGUACACGGCGACCGUGCCCAUGGACAUCCCGGUGUUCACGGGCUCGCACGCCGACCUGCUGGUCGUGGUGUUCCACAAGAUCAUCACAACUGGACAUCAGAGGCUGCAGCCGUUGUUCGACUGUCUGCUCACUAUACUUGUUAAUGUUUCGCCGUACCUGAAGACUCUAUCAAUGGUGGCAUCCACAAAACUGCUGCACCUGCUAGAAGCAUUCAGCACGCCGUGGUUCCUGUUCUCGCAGCCUCACCACCAUCAUCUCGUGUUCUUCUUACUCGAGAUGUUCAAUAAUAUGAUACAGUACCAGUUUGAUGGUAACUCCAACUUAGUUUACACAAUAAUCCGCAAGCGAGCAGUAUUCCAUAAUUUGGCCAAUCUUCCACACGAGCACGGAGCAAUCGCUCGCUCGCUAGCGGCCGGCAGGGCUAAGGGGCUGGUGCCCCAUAAGACUACACUACCCAGUUUACAUCAGUCGACCGACCAAACGCCUCUACAAGUCGAUGCAAAGCCCGUACACAACGGAGUUUGUAAGCCAGAGCUGCCCAACCGACGACCGCGGUCUAGGAGCGCGGAGUCGGUAGCAGAGACGCCGAUGGAAGGUUCGAGACCCGCGCAACCCGCGGAGCCCGGCACUCUCAACCCUACGCUCGCUGAGACACCCGCAAUAAGCACAAUGACAGAACGCGAAUCAGCGCAUCCUCCACCACAACGCCUCGAAGGCGACGCGUCCGACACGUCCGACACGAUCGACGCGACAGACGCGACCGACGCGACCGUCCGACACGACGGCGACACUCGCGAGCCGAGGGACAGGCUGCUGCCUGCGAGGGCCGGCCCGGAUGGCGAGGAUAGACCUGAUGAUGCUGAUGUGGAUGAAGGGGAGAAGAGGGCCGUGGCACAUCGGAACAGCAUCGCUGUAUCCGGCACUGGUCGGGUGGACAGUCGCGAGUGGCGAGCGAGUGCGGAGUGGGUGUCGAGCUGGCGCGGCAAGCUGCCGCUGCAGACCAUCAUGCGGCUGCUGCAGGUGCUCGUGCCGCAGGUCGAGAAGAUCUGCAUCGACAAGGGUCUAACAGACGAGUCAGAGAUCCUGCGGUUCUUACAACACGGUACUCUAGUGGGACUGCUGCCGGUACCUCACCCGAUCCUCAUCCGCAAGUACCAGGCCAAUGCCGGCACGGCUGCGUGGUUCCGCACGUAUCUGUGGGGCGUUAUUUAUAUACGCAACGUGGACCCGCCAAUCUGGUACGACACAGACGUAAAACUGUUCGAGAUCCAACGAGUUUAGACCAUAGACUUCACGAAACUGCUUACUUCCCAUUAAAUAAUACGGCGCGAUGAUCUCCAGCCCGAAAGCCGUUGAAAAUGGCCGCCAAAAAUUCAGAAUUAUGAAACUAAUAUUCUAUUGACGAUGUUUUGAAGUAUGUCAUAGCGACGCCAGAGUGCCUGGAAGUAAA
rnacentral:misc_RNA from 1 species